AUACAAAGAGCAGGAAAACAAGAAAAGCAGAGCCGCAUCGCUUUUUGCUAGCUAAGCUACUGUGGGAGUUAUUGUUCUUCAGAACAGCUUCUGCAGUAGCUAAUAAUAUCGUUAUAUAUUAUAUAAAUUUUAUACAUCCUUUUUACCCUACAACUCCAUAUAUAAGCAAGUAAAAAUAAAUAUGGCUCGCUCUGUUUCUUCCUUUAAGCUCCUUGGUGCUUCUGUUUUUGAUGGUCUUUAUGUCUCCAUAUCAAGGUAACCGUGUGUGUUUUUUUCAAAAUCCUUUGUAUAUGGUUUUUGGCUUAAUUUUUUUUUUUUGGUUAUUGAUAAUGAUUUGGGGUUGUCUUUAAAGGAGAGGUUACUCGGGUGCACCGCCGGCGGCAGUUACGGCUAGCUUUGGUAGGCCUGGGGCGAUGGGGAAAGUGGAACGAAGAGAUGCGAUGAAAGAGUCGUCGUCGUCGGAGACAAGGGCUUAUUCUUCAGCUUGGGCGCCUGACCCUGUUACGGGGUAUUACCGGCCGGAGAAUUGUGGGGCUGAGAUCGAUGCGGCGGAGCUCCGGGAGAUGUUGUUGAAUCACAGGGUUAGAUCACAGUAGAAACUUGCCACCGCAUGUGAUCACCGUAGCAGAGCAGAGCCAUAAUGUUUUGCAGAUGUUUGGGUGCCUUUGUAUUUUGUUUUGGUUUUGAGUUCAAAAUCUUUUAUCUUAAUAGUCGGUAGUUUUUUCGUAUAAAGAGUGUAGUGUGCUGAACUUUAAGCUAAAGCAGAAAAUUAACUAAAUUACCAUUUUUACUUUUUUCUAAGUUAGUUUAUAUAUAAAUUAUAUUAUUAUAACAUUAAGAUUGAAUAAUUAUGAAAUUAGUAAUUAAAUAUUUUAAGAAUAAAUAUUAAAAUUAUAUAUGUUAUGUAUCAACUUUAAUUUAGUAUAUUUGUAUAUAUUAACUUUAAUUUUGAUUUAGUUUUUUCAUUUUGCUAAUCCUAUUUAGAGCAUUUUUAUUGUUAAGUUACAUUUAAAUUAUUGACAUGGUAUUUUGUAAGCUUAAAAAAGCAAGCAAACAAAUUUAAGAAAACCAAAUUUUCUAAGGGAAAUAAAAAACCUUUUUUGUUUAAUUUUUUAAUAUAGGUGAAAAUAAUUUAAGUUUAUUGGAUUGUUUUUCAACCUAAUAAAAUGUCAUGUUAAUAAUUUAGACAUGAUUUAAGAAAAAAUUAUGCCACAUAGAUAAUGGAAUUAGUGAAAUGUGAAAAUUGAACCAAAAUUGUUGGCAACAAAAAAGUACGAAUAGAAAAUAUUGGACACAAAUAUUGACGUGGAAAAAUUCUUCUAAAGAAGAUAAAAAAUCAUGGGUAAAGAAAAUUUCAUUAAAAUGGCAAAAAAUUGAGUAAGAGUAUAAUAUGAAGAAAAAUUAAAACAAGCCCUCAAAUUUCGAAAAAUACGAAACUCUUUGGUUAAAACACAAAAUUUUUUUAAACUCUCUUUUGCUGUGUUGUUUAAUUAAUCUCUCUAGAAUUGCUAAAAGUCCUAUUUAUAGGUUGAAAUUCGUAGGCUAAUAUGAUGAAAAUACCCCUGGAGUUAUUAGAGUUCGAUUGGAAAAAGAUAGUAGAGUUUAACUAGGAGAAGAAACUCGGUUUAGUAGGGAACAUGUCGCUACGUCAUGAUGUCGUUAAUCAGCUCGUCGAGACGUCACAUGUCGCAUCAUCGGGACAUCGAUUUCUUAUUAUCGAGACAUGUGUCGCGUCGUCGAGACGUCAGCUCUUUCUCGUGGCGAUGUCGACUCUAUUUCAUCCAAAAUGCAAGGCACACUUCACAAAUCUCCACCUUGAUUCGUAUUUUCACAACGCAUUAUUUGUCGAGCCUUUUCAUGGGCCUAACUCAUUCUUUCCAGGAUACUGACCAAGUGUAAACAAUGUUUGAACUUAGAAACUGGAAGGCUUUUGGUCAUCAUACCGACUGGAUUAUUUUCUAUGUCGAACUUAUAAAUCUGAACAUAUCUUUGAGCAACCACCUCCUAAACAAAGUGAUAUCGAAUAUCCAUGUUCUUUGUCCUUUCGUGAUGCAUUUGAUCCUUAGUGAGAUGUAUAGCACUUUGACUAUCGCAAUAUACAACAGUCGCAUUGUGUUUAUUAAACAACUCCCCGAAUAAGCCUCUCAACCAAAUGAUUUCUUUCAUAGCUUCUUUGAUUGCCAUAUAUCUAGCUUCGAUAGUCGAUAUAGCCACAGUGGCUUGAAACGUGGCUUUCCAACUAAUGACGCAUUUACCAAAAACAAAUAGAUAUCCCGUGAGGGAUCUUCUUUUGUCUAGAUCUCCUGCAUAAUUUGAGUCUACGAAGCCCACUAGACCCUCUGAACUUCUUUUGAACUCUAAACAAGUAUUUGAUGUCCCCUCAAGUAUUUGAGAAUCCACUUAACUGCUUGCCAAUGUAAUUUACCGGGUUUAGUCAUGUAUCUACUUACAACACUAAUAGCAUGUGAAAUAUCGGGACAUGUGCAAACCAUUGCGUACAUUAAGCUUCUGACUGUAUUGGAAUAAGGAAUUGAGGACAUAUACUUUUCUUCAUCUUCAGUUUGUGGUCACUUUGAAGCUGAAAGUUUGAAGUGUGCAGCUAAGGGAGUACUAACCGGUUUUGGAGUUUUGCAUUCUAAACUACUUGAGAAUUCUUUCGAUGUAUCUCUGCUGAGACAAAAACAUCUUCUGAAGCUUCUAUCUCUGGAAAUUUCUAUCCCUUAGAUUUUUUUAGCUACACCAAGGUCCUUCAUCUUGAAUUUAGAAUAAAUCAUGGUUUUUAACCGAUCAAUUUCAGAUGAAUCCUUAGCCACAAUUAGCAUAUCAUCAACAUAAAGCAGCAAAUAUAUAAACAAUCCAUCAUCAAGACGAUGCAAGUAUACACAACUAUCAUACUUCAUACAAAACCAAUGUUUGACUUAAAUGAAUCAAACUUCUUAUACCAUUGACAAAGAGACUACUUCAGGCUGUACAAAGAUUUCUGUAGAAGGCAAAUAUGGUCUUCUUUGCCAUCGAUCCUAAAGCCUUUAGGUUGUUGCAUAUAAAUAUCCUCCUCUAGGUUGCCAUGAAAGAAUACAAUUUUCACAUCUAACUGCUCUAAUUCAAGGUUGUAUAAUGCAAAAAGAGCUAACAAUGCCUGAGUAGACGUAUGCUUCACAACAUGAGAAAACACAUCGUGAAAGUCAACUCCCUUCACUGGUGUCACCAACCUCACUUUAUAUCUGGUGUCACCUAGACCCAAUCCUUCCUUUUGAACACCUAGUUGCAACAAAUUAUCUUCUUUUUGGUGGUUGGUUUCAUGAGUUUCCAAGUUUUGUUCUUGUGAAGAGAUUCCAUUUCCUCUUCCAUAAUGACAAGCCACUUGCUCGAAUCAAGAGCCUGAACUGCCUCAGAGUAAUUGGAGAGAUCGAUUGAAUCAAUGCUCUCCGCAACACUUAGAGCGUAUGCCACUAAUUUUUUGUGACAAUAUUUUUAUGGUGGCUUAAUUUCUCGUAUUUUCCUGUCCUGGGCUAACUUAUAAUUUUGUAGUUGAGAUGUAAGAGUUUUGAGAGUCGAAUGGAGCCUUUAACUGAUCUAAAGUGACUUCAGUACCCUUUUACAGAUUUGAAACAACUUCAGGUUCACUUAUAUUACAAUUUUUUCGUGACAGUGCGACGCCGCGAAAUCCCUCGUUACAACGUCAACUCUGUUUGUCGUGUCGUCGUGACAUUGUUGUUUGUGACGUUGCAACGCCACCAUCUCUUUUUGGCUUCGACUCUACCUUGCCUAGGACAUUUUGUUUUGUUUUGUCAUUAAAAACAAAUGGCUUCUUUCCCGGAUGAAACAUCAUAGUUUCAUCAAACGUUACAUCUCCACUCAUAAUUGUUUUGUUUGUUUCUAGGCACCAUAACUUAAAGCCUUUAACACAGACAACAAAAUAAAAAAAAAUACAUAUCACAAUCCUUAGUUUAAAAUUUCCCUGACUAACUUGUACAUAAGCACGACAACCAAAUUCUCUAAGGUUAAAGUAAUUUGGAGGAUCUCCCGACUAUAUCUCUUCAGGAACCUUUCCAUCCAAAGCUUGAUGUGGAGACCAGUUCACCAAGUAGCUUUCUAGGUUAGUGGCUUAUACCCAAAACACCUUUUUCUAAGCCUACGUUGGAAAGUAUAUAUCGGGCUUUCUCAAGUAAAGUUCUAUUCAUCCUUUCGACAACACCAUUCUAUUGUGGGGUACCAACAACUAUGCGAUGUCUUUCAAUUCAUUCUCAAUUGCAUUAAUCAGCUAAACAGAACUCAAGAUAAUUAUCCAUUCUUAAUCGCUUUACGGACUUCCCAAUCUGUUUUUCUAGUAAGGUUUUUCAUUCUUGUGCUUCAACAAAAUAAACCCCAACUUUCCUAGAGUGCUCGUCAAUAAAAGUUAGAAGAUAUUUGCUACCUCCUUUAAAGACGACUAGAGCCGGACCCCAUAAAUCGAAAUAAAUAUAGCUAAUGGUCCAUUUUGUCCUGUGCACUAUCGAAUCGAGACUAACUUGUGUUUACUUCCCAUAAAUACAGUGCUCGCAGAAAUCUAACUUUUUAACUCCAGUGUCUGUGAGAAGACCUCUUUUACUCAAAACAAUCAUACCUUUUUCACUCAUAUGAUCGAGUCACGUCCCACAACUGAGUUGAUUCAGAAUCUAUAAAGAAGGGAUUUCAUCGUGUUGUCGCGACGACAUGGGAGUCUUCGUUGUGAUGUGGCGACAAUUUUGUCUCUACUUCUAUAAAUGUUAUCGCAUCGUUCACCGUUGAACAAGAGUUCCAUGAAAUAUAUUGAACAAGAGCUCCAUAAAUGUACAGGUUGUCCGUUUUCUGUCAUUUUAUCAAAAUAAGAGCUCUAUGAAAUACUUUGACACCGUUUGACUUGAUGACGAUCCUAUAACCAUUCGAGUUUAAGAUACCUUAGGAGAUGGGAUUCUUUUUCAAAUCAGGCACAUGCCUAACAUUUGAUAGGGUCCUCAUAAUUCUGUUAUGCAUCCUGAUCUGAACCGUGUCGAUACAAAUUAUCUUACAAGGUGAAUUGUUCCACAUAAGCAUAACUCCACCUUCAACUGGACUAUAUUUGGAGAACCAAUCCUUCUUGGGACACAUAUGAUAAGAACACCAUAAAUCUAGGAUCCACUCAGACGUAAGCUUAAACCUAUCAAUCGUAGACAUGAACAACAAAUCAUCUCAUUUGUCCUCAGCAACACUGGCGUCGGCUAUAUCAACAUUUUGCUUCCCUUUCUCAUUAUUUUUGGCAGCCUUCUUGUUUUUGUUUUGGAGUUUCUAACAUUCUGCCUUAAUGUGACCUAUCUUUUUGUAGUAGCCAUAGGUAUUGUCUCAGUUCCUUGACCUUGAUUUCGACCUAGAUCUUCUUUGACCCAAAUCCUUAUACUGUUGUAUUCCUUUUACAACUAGAACUGAGGCAUGCCCAUCUAAUUUGUUCUUUGAACCUAACUAGUUGUCAGUUUUAUCCUUACUCAAUAAGUUUCCCUUUACGUCUUCAAACGAGAGUCUCUCUCUACCAUAAAUUAGGGUUUCCCUAAAAGUUUUAUAUGAAAGGGGAAAAGAACACAACAAUAGCAUCCCCCUUCAUAUAAAACUUCUAGUGUGAAGGAGGAUCACAAAACUGUUGCUUUCCCAUCAAACUUUUCGAUAUCGUCAUCCAAACUUACCAUAAACUGAAAUUUGUGAUCCCAUCAAACUUUUCGAUAUCGUAUCUCAUUGUCGCCAUCUCUAAACGGGUUGAAUGUCAAAUUCAAACCAAGCUCUGAUACUAGUUUGUUGGGGAUAAACCUGAAUUAAGUAACGAACAAGAACAAAUAGAGAAAAUUGGACAUAAAUAUUUACGUGGAAAAACUCUUCUAAAGAGGAUAAAAAAUCACGGGCAAAGAAAACUUUACUAAGAUUGAAUAUAAUCGAAUAAAAGUAGGAAAUGAAAAAAAAAAUCAAAACAAGUCCUCAAAUCCCGAAAAAUACAAAGCUCUCUGGCUAAAGCACAAAAUUCUCUCAAACUCUCUUUUGUUGUAUUGUUGAAUCAAUCUCCCCACGGUUGCUAAAAUCCUAUUUAUAGGUUGAAAUUUGUGGGCUAAUAUAUUUAAAAUAUCCCUAAAGUUAUUAGAGUUCGAUUGGAAAAAGAUAACAGAAUUUAAAUAGGAGAAGAAACUCGGUUUAGUAGGGAACACGUCGCCACGUCGUGUGUCACGUCGUCAAGAAGUCAGCUCUUCCUCGUGGUGACGUCAACUCUAUUUCAUUCAAAAUGUGAGGCGGACUCCACAAAAUCUAAAAUUCAAUGUAUAUAAAUGCACCAAAUUAAAGUUAAUAUAUAAUAUUACAAAUUAUAUCAAAAUUCAUGAAUAAUUUUUGUAUUAAUCUCAAUAUUUUAUUUAAAGUAAUUGUUUAAGUUAUCAUUAAAUUAUUUUAACAUCUUAAAUAAUAAAUGAAUGUAAAAUUUUAAAAGACAACAAUAAGGACAAAAGACAAAGUAAGAGAAGACAAAUGACAAAAAAAAAAAAGAAGAGGAAAAAGAAACGACGAGAGGGAUAACAGUGCGUUUGACGAGUGAAAAUUUUUGCUCCCAUUGGUGGCCAUGUGGAUCAACUAUAUUGAAGGCCUGCUACCCAAAUGGAUCACGAUGGUUCUUCUAAGAAGGUGCCUUGGUUUUCACUUUUUUCUCAUUCCUUUGAGAAGUGAUUUUAGUUAGGAAUGUGAUUAUAGAAAUCAUGAUGUUAAGUUAAAAAGCUCCCUAUGAUAGCAAAAAAUUAUUGAUAGAGAGCAACCUCCAGUACAACAACUCGUGAUGGAUCAAUACUUGUUUGUAAGAGCGUCAAUCAUUCUCGUGAACCAAGUUCCCCUUAAUGCAAAGAUUCAUUCUAGCUUUCUCAUAGAAUCCAGAGUCAAAACCUGCAACAAAACUAGAGAAGGGCAUCAAAGCAACAAAAAGGUGCAAGACCACAAUAAAUACUUCAAACCUUGAGGAAAAAGGGCCAAUGACCCAUGGCCAAGAGAAGUCGAAGACAAGAUAUGGCGAGGGGAUACCAAAAGGUCUUGUUGAAGGGCCUUCAUUAAGGAGGAGACCGACGGCAAGCGACAUACCCACCAAGUUCAAGACAAAAAAUAGUAAAAAGGGAAGAAAUUAAAAAGAAAGAGUAGGAGUGAAGUAGACACACAACCUCCAGCGCGAAGGUCGACCGACCACACAGCGCAUGGGCCAGGUGCGGGAUUUGCAUGAGUAAAGGGUUGUGUUGAAAGGGAGUAAGACAACCCACCCAGCUCGUAGACUCAUCUUGGAUUGGUUCUACAUGAAUAAGAAUUUUUAUGUCUCGGCGAUAUCUGAAUUCAAUCUAAAUAAUAAGAGAUAUUUUUUAAAUUUUAUUAUAAAAAUAUAAAUAUUGAUAUAAAAACAUUUUUAAUAUUGUAUUUUUUUAACAAUAAAAUGCACUAAUGAACCGGGUCGAUCCACCUCGGGUUUGAGUAAGUUUUUUUUUUUUAAAAUAAGUUUACAAAUUAAUUCAGACUCAUGAACAGUUAGAUGUAAUCACGAGAGAGUAGAUGAUAAUAACUACUCAACCUUGAGGAAGUACAGAUGAAGAUGAAAAGGAGACAUGAAAAAGGAAGUUUGGGGAAUAGGGGUGAGGAAGAGCCUAUUACAUUUAAAGAGAAUUGCACCUUCCCAAUGCCCUCAACCUCUCAAAAGCUAGCUACCAACCGACUCUCUUUAUAAAUCUCAUCUCAUCUCAUCUCAUCUAAAAGCACAAGGAAGCAUCCCUAAAUCAUGGUGGGUUAAAGAAGUGGUGAUGUUCAUUCAUGUCCUAUGUACGGAUGGUCCACAAAUUUAAUGUAGUGAUUCCAUUAACAGUGCCACCGCAGCCUUUCUCAUAUUUCCCUGCAGUCCUGCCCUCAGGUCCUUAUGUCUUAUCAUCGCUUCCCAAGAUAUUUCCUCCCCUCCCUUCCCACAAUAUCAUAAGUUUAGAGUCCUAUAGCUAUCCAAGUUCCAUUUAAGAUGUUUAUAUAACAGUAUAUAUGCUUAGGAAAAAUUUAAAAGCUUCAAUGAACAGUUCCAUGCAACACAAAUUAAGAAGAAUCCAUAAUUAUAAAUUUUUAAUAUUUUUUAAUUAAAUUGGUUGAAUCUAUAGUCUAACUUAAUUGAUUAACAAUUCAAUUCUAAAUAUUAAUAAAUCUUAUAAAAUUAAAAAAUCUAUCCGAAACCUAAUUUCUUUACUAAAUAACACAUCCACAGUGGUGGGGGCGAAUUGGAUCCAUCAAGUUGAAAGAUAUUUACGUCUCUGUUUAAAUAUUUGGGUAAACUAUAAUAUUAGUCAUUAAAUUAUGAGUACGUUUUAUUUUGGUCAUUUAACUAAAAAAAUAUAAUUUGGUCAUUAAAUUAUUCGAAAAUUUUUAUUUAAAUCACUAAACUAUUUAAAAUUUUUUAUUUAAAUUAUUAGACUGUUAAAUUUUUUUAGAAAAAUUCUACCAACAAGCUCCAAGCAACGAUUGGAUGAUCGGUACAAUGAGUCAGUACCUAUCGACGAGUAGAACAUACUUUAAAUUCAAGUUGAUUUGACGAUUAGUGUUUGAGAUCGGAGAAAAAAGUUAUUUGAAUUUUGGUUUGCGGAUUCGUAACAUCUAAAGUUGUUUCAUGAAAAAAAUAAAUUAUAGAAGAAAAGGAGAAAAAGAGCUUUUGGUUGGAGUAAACAGUGCGAAUAGAGAAAAUCAUACAUAUAACAUCGAUUUUAACAAUCCAAUCACUUAAAUGAAAACCUUUUAAUAAUUUAAUAAUCAAAUUGUAACUUUUUUUAUUGAGUAAGCAAUACAAAUAUUUAUUCAUAAUAUAGUGAUUAAUGAUAUAAUUUACCUUAAAUAUUUGUAACUUUUUACUAUAUGACCCAGAAUUUGGACAAUCUUUAAUAAUUCAGGGCGGUAUAAAAUUGAAUUAGAUAAGAGGAAAAAAAAGAUUCAUAAAGAGAUUAGUCAAAAUUUAUCAUAAUAGGUGCUCACGUUACUCAACCAUGUAAUCAUUUGUCUUCUCCUCUCUCAAGUUUCCUUGAACGUCAAAGCCCUAUUGAUUUCGUACGAGAGUUUGGCAGAUUUGGACCCCAAAUAGAGAGGGAGGGGAGGGGGUAUGAAGUACAUUACAGAAAGGUUGUCCUUUUGUUUUUUAGCUAGGUGUGUUUAAUUGAGUGGGAAAAAAAUGAAGAUUCUUAAUAAUAAAAAAUCAUUCAAAUUGGAGUGAUAAAAAGAAAAUAAGAAGCAAUUCCUCUUACUUUUCAAUUCUAACAAGUACACAAAUGAAAAAAAUAUUACAUAUAUUCUUUUAUUCUUCUAGAAAUAUUAAAUCUUUUUAUCUUUGGACUGGCCAUUGCAAAGCCUAAAUUCCUCCCUACCAUAUUAUCCAUUAUGUUUGCAUCAUAUCCCAUAGCCAACAGUGCAACACCCUCAUCACACUGCUACAUGCUGUUCUCACAAGUCAUUGGUAAUAUAGCCCAAAUUAAUAUCCCUAAGAUAGCUCUAACAAUGUGAAAAGUAGCAAGCAGAAAAACAUGUAAGAAAUUAAGUUUAUUAACUGAAUCCCAGCAUUUGAUGUGUUGUCAGGUGAGAUUGGUAAUAAAAUAAAUAUAAAAGGGUUGGAAUUACAUAUUAAUUGUUUUCUUAAAGUAGUUUGAGGAUCAGAAAAAUCAAACGGUCAAUGGGGUUGUUUAAGGGGUAAGCAUAUGUCUUAAGACCGACAUACAGCCAUGUGAAUGCAUGUGAUGAGGGCAAAAACGUUUCUUACACUACUUCCAAAUCAACACUACAAACGUUAACAAACAAUACACAUUAUUUAAGGAAUUAGAAAUUAUAAACUAUAAAGAGUCCAAAAUAUAAUUAAUUGCAGAUAUAUGUGAUGCAGUAGUAGUAACAAUUAAGGAAGGGAUUAAGGGGUGUAACAUUACUAAAGGAAUAGAGUCUCUUAAGAACAGAUGAUAAUAAACAUGGAAAUAAACAGGUAAUAAUAAUUAAGCCAAUGUAAUGCGUAUUAACUGGAAUAAUUUUUAGCUUCUAACAGCUAAUAAGGAAGGAAUGGCAGCCAGAUUGGGAGUUGUGUUUUUGUUAUUUGAUUCUCUAAUGACGGUGGUAGCAUCUUUCUUACCAGAGGAUGGUUUGGUGAAUGCUCUCAUGGGGCUUGCAAAUGCCCAUCCCCAACUCCUGCUCCUCCCAUGGAUCAGCGCUGCUCCUGUUGCUUUCCCAUUCCCGUUAUGCUCCUCCGCUGAUGACGAUAACCAGUAUGAAGAUGAGGAGGAGGAAGACGAUGAUGAUGUGAUUAUGAAACCACCGAAUAUGCCACCGCAUUUUACCCUUUCUUUCAUUGCUGAUGAUGAUGAGGCGGCGCCGACGGCGGAGGAUUUUGGUUUGCCUUCUCUUUGGGAUUCAACUCGUCUGAGAGUGCAAUCUCCCAACCCGGUUGAGAUCCUUUCGAAGAAAUCACCGGAGAAACUCCGGCUUCCGCAGCCUACGGACCUGGAUCUCGAAACCUUGCGCUCAAAUGAUGAUGCAGCUGAGGCAGUGGCUUCACUGUUGGGGCUGUCAUCCUCUUCUACUACCACAAUGCCUCCUUUUCUCGACAAUGAUGAACCCAAGCUUUUCUCCUUUGGUUUUACAUUCACGACCGCACUUGAGGAUGAAGGUCCCCCCAUUGUUGUUGCUGUUGAGACAGUGGCUGCCGGUGGUGCUAUAGAAGCAACCUUGUCUGGUUUUUUGGAACUAUGGGUCUUGGAAGAAAGAUAGAGAAAUGACCAAAAACCACUUCUUUUUCUGGGACUGAAGCCUCCACCAUUAUCUACUUCACCAUCCAAGAACCGGCCUCUCCUGGGAGCUGUAGUUGACUUGCUUCUCUUUAAAGCAAUAUUAGCAUGAUGGUGGUGGUGGUGGUGGUGGUGAUGAUGAUCUGAUGAUGCCACCAUGAUCUUCUUCUUCUUCUUUGCCAAAAGGAAAGGGAUCCUGGCCCGCCUUGUAUAACAUUCUUCAUAAUGACUGUUAUUAUUACCAUUAUCAAGCCUAGUUUUUGUUAUGGGACGAACAGACAUAGACAGUGAAGAAGCGGAAAAAGUGGCGACACCACCACCACCACCACUAACGCCACCAUUUCCGCCACAACUAGUAGCAAUGGCACCAGUAUCAGAUCUAAAAGAAGGCGGGGAAGAAGAAGAAGAAGGUGAAGCACGAAUAGGUAAAGGAAAAGAAGAAGAAACCAACUUGCCUAGCUUCUCUUGAAGGCAAAAAGCACAGAUCCCACCAGGGUUAUUUCUAUAAGGAUGAUUACUGCAUUGCAUACCAUCUCCCAUAUCUUCUUCAACACCAACACCAACUCUACCUCCUCCUCCACCUUUGAUUCCUUCCAUUAUGUUAAACUAACUGUGAAGGAAAAAAUAUCUACAAAAUCUUUGUUCCUUGUAACUGGUAUUGCUCUCUUUUCACAUCAAAGAUAUGGCCUUUAUUUUUGCUUUCCCACAAGUCACUCACUUUUUUCCCUGCCAAGAAAAGAGAGAGAAAUGGGAAGAGGAAGAUGCAAACAAAAGAAGGGAAACAGAGAGUCAGAGUGUGUAAUUGAGUGGGGAAAAAAAAUAUGGCAUUGAAGAGGGGGAGGGGGGAGAGAGUCCCCAGGAGCACGUGGAACACUGACUUGCCUACACAUUAAACAAAGUGAUAUUAUCAUAUAAACCAUACACAAGCUAAACCCUCACCCCUUUUUUAGCUUUCAUCAACCCCCACCCCCCCUGCCACCUUCCCACAGGAAUCUACUAACUAAAGCACUCUCUUCUGACUCCUCACCUUAGCUCCUGGGAAGGGUUUUUCCUUUUAACUCCAUUGCUUCGCUUUGCCCUUUGCUCUUCUUCUUUUUAUCUUUUAUAUAUAAUAUAUAUUAGAAUUUAGAAGAAGAAAAUAUGCUUCUGCUUUGUAGAUGGAUGGAUUAGAGUAGAUUCCCUCUUUUUCUGCCAUUGCAUUAUGAAAUUCGCUUUGUUUUUUAUCUCUAAAUAUAUUAAUGCUUACUUGGCUUUUUCUUUCCUGAUAAAAAUAUUAUUAGUUUAUUAUAACUUAUUUAUAUAUAAUACUUGAAAAUAUAAAAAAUUAUUAGACUCCAUAGAAAAGGUUUUUUUUAUAACGAGGGAUGAGGGCAAAAAUAUAAUAGAGGAUAUUGUAUUAAUAAUAAGAUUGUAUUUAAUUUUUUAUUUAAAAAAAGUAAAUUAUUUUUUGUACAAUAGAUCAAAUAAUAAAUUAGAAUUUUUAUUAAAAAUUUUAUCUUUUUAUUAUUAAAAAUACAGAAUAAUCAAACAAUUAUAUGUGAUCUGUAAUGUAUAUCCCAUUUUAACAUACAAUAACUAGUUUUGAUAGUAAAAAUGAAAAAAGUUUCUAACUAAAAUGAUGUAUUUAUUUUCUGCUCUAGUGUAAAAGAACUAAUUUAUCUAUUUUUUAAAUAAAAUAAUAAAAUACUAUCUAACUCUUAAUACAAAUAUCUCUAUAAUAUUUUUAUCAAGACGAGAGUCACUUAAUAAAAUUUAUAUCAUCUUAUUUUAAAUGAGAUUUUUUAUUUUAAGUGCCUAAGGUAGAGUGAGGCAUUUGUGAUAACCUACCCGAAUUUUAAAGUUACUAAUUUAUUCAUUAUAAUAUUUUAAUUUUUUUAGUAUAUGUAUUAGAAAUACAAACUAAAAUCAUAUAUAUGUUAAUAAGUUAUAUAUAAUUAUUUUAUACAUGACCUAAACAAUUAUAUGUAUCAAAUUCAUACAUGAAAUUAUAAAUAUAUAGUUUUAUACUAUUAAAUUUUUUUUAAAAAAUCAUUAGAAAAAGAAGGUAGUGUUGUGUGGAUUAAUAUAAAGAGAUUUUGGUUAUAAUUAACCAAAAAUUUUAUUUAGAAAGGUUGAGAUAAAAUUAUAAAAUAAGUAAAAAUUUGUAUUAAAAAUGUUUAAACUAAAUUAUUAAUAAUUUAAAAAGAUUUAAAUUAUAAUUUUGACAUAAGUAGAUUGUGAAGGGCCAUUUGCUUGUCCCAAUUUAUUUUGCUUUGUUAAUUGGAAAAAAUUAAAUUAAUGGAAUGGAGUUAAAUAGUGAUAGGAGUUAACAAUAGGUGGAGAAUAAAGAAAAAGAUUGUGAGAAUUUGGUUGAAGAGGGAAGAGCGACAGCAAUGGAAGAAAAGGGCCAGAGUGAGUGACCCCCCACAAUGUUGUAUCCACCAAUACCUCCUUUACCCACUCAUUUGUUCAACACAUCAACUCUUGUUGCUGCAUGCGCCUUCUUAUCCCUAAACUAUUUACCAUUUAUUAUGAUAUUUUCACUUCAAUUAUUUGAAAUUGAGUGCUAAUCAAAAGGUUAAAACUAUUUUUUUUAAUUAAAAAAAAAACAUGAUAAUUGUUGGAUUGGUGCCCAAUAUGUUAAAAACAUUUGUGGAUCCCAUGUUCCAUUUUUUGCUCAACCUCUAAAUUGUACGCUAUGAUCUUCGAUACCUACUUUUCACAAACUUUAUGAUAUAAUAUGGCACUUUAUACUUCAACUAUCAAUUGUCCUCUUUCUUUUUGCAUUUUUAUGGAACUCGUAUUUUAUUUAAAAGUUAGAAAUAAACAAACAAAUUGAAUGCUACUAAUAUUUUUCUUCCACUUUUACUAAUAUACAUAGAAUUUAAGAGUUCUAAUUCAAUUUUUUUUCAUUUCAAAGCAUAUAAAAUUUAAAAAUAAUACUUGAUGGGAUUUGAACACCAAAACAUCAUAAUAUUUUAAUAUUUUUAUCAUUUCAACUACUUUUAUAAAUAUAUAUUUUCAAUCCUUAAUCUACUAUACAUAACCAUGUGUACAUAUGGAUAAUUCUAGACUGGCUAUUCAACCCAAUUUCAACAAUUCCAUGUCUAAGUUACAAUUCCAAACCACCACUGCAUUUAGCAUUGAAUAAAAAAGAAAAAAAAAAGAAAAAGAGGGAAGUUUCAGUGCUUUAUAAACCGACAAUUGAUUUGUAUUUUAACAGAAUUCAAUUUAAUACAGUUGGAUAUUUAUUUCUUACUAAAUGAAACUCUUGAAGCAGCCAUUGGACGAAGAGGCACAUGGAGGCACACACUGUUUUUGUCUCAUUUGACCCCGUGAAGAGUUGAAUAUGUAGCAAAGUAUAAAAAGGAAAGUGCAUAUAUUAUAUGUAUGCAUGCAUGUUGGAUUUUUGCAUUUAUCAAAACAAGCAAAAGUCUUUCUCUCUUUGAUAUUUACGUUUUUGUCAUCCUUGUAAAAUAUUUUCCUAAUCUUUUUAAUGUUUUUUAUAUAUGAUUGAUUUUGAUAGCAUAUAUCAAAUUUUGAGUAAACCAAAAAUAUAUAAUUGUUGGUAUAAUAGUUUAUGGAAGUAUGCAUAUUGUUAUAAAUAGUUGGUAAAUUUUACCUAGUGAUUUAUUCCAAUUUAUUUAAGCAACAAAGUUACACUAAUUUACGUGUUACUCUAAAAGACAACUAGUGUAAUGAGAAGAUUUAUCUACACAAAGCUCUAGAAUUCAAUAACGCAAAAUCACACUUCAUCAAGACUUCUUUGGUUGAUAAUGUGAUGACUAUUUCAGUUAAGUAUUAUUUAAAGAUAAUCAUAUUUAAUAGUGUUAUCUUCAAGUGGUUACCAUUUGAAGAUUAUCUGGUGAUUAAUUAACGAUAUUGACUUAUUACUUCUUAAAGAUUCUUUUUACAUGAUGAUGUGAAGAUAAUUCAACAACAAUACGGUGAUUUAAUUUGAUGAUAAUAUUACGCCAUUUGUUGAUAAUUGAAACCGUUAAAAAUUAUCAACUAAAUAAUAUUAUUAUCUUGUUUAAAUUUAAAGUUGAAGUUUUGUAAGCCUAUAAAUAGAUUGUUUAGUCAUGGGGUUGAAAAAGGAAAAAUAGAUGGUUCUAUCAUGGGAUUGAUACAACUUAGAAGGAGCAAAUGAGUUAAAUUAGUAAGUAACAAUUAUAUUUGGUUUUUAUUUUUUUAACUUCAAUAGGAAGAAUGAGUUGGGAAGAGUUCAUACUAAGUGUACUUGGGUGAGCCUGCAAUUAUUCGAGGGUUAGGAUAGGUUGAGCUUAAAUCAUUGCUUAUACCGUGAGAUUUAGUAGUAGAAUUCAUCUAUAGGCAAGGCCCCAUGGACGUAGGUUAAGUUUGAAUUGCAUUAACAACUUCAUGUGUUCAAGUUUUCAUUCUUUUUAUGUUUUCUUAUUGGUGUACCACAUCUCUUAGCACACCUCACUACCAGUUAUGCAUUUCCAAUUGGUAUUAGAGUCACACAUUUAAAUCAUUUGAUGAGACCCUAUAAUUGGUAGUCGAACAAUGGGAGGUAUAAAGGAAGGCAGUUCGAUUAUACAUCCACCACUAUUGGAUGGAUCUAAUUAUGUUUGUAGGAAACCAUGGAUGAAGACUUUCAUAAAACCUUUUGAUAAGAAAGCAUGAAGAUUGAUUCUAACUAGAACAAAGCCUCCUUACAGUGAAACAAAUGUUGUACAUAUCCCAAAGCUUGAAGCUCUCUAGACCUUUAAAAAACAUAAAGUAAUGAAUUUUAAUUCGAAAUAAUUGUCUGUUAUUUCAAAAGGGUUAAAUUAACAAGAAUUCAAAAGAAUUUCAAAAUAUGUUUUUGCUCGUGAAACGUGGACUAUUCUAGAAACCACUCAUGAACUCCUAGAGUCAAGCUAUCAAAGCUCCAAAUGCUUACCACCAGGUUUGAAUCUUUAUGAAUGUCUAAUAAUAAGACCAUAUCUGAAUUUUAUGUUAAACAUUGUGGCAUAAAUAAUGAGACUUCUGCUCUUAGUGAGCAAUAUUUUAAGGUGAAAAUAGUUUGAAAGAUACUAAGUUUGUUGCCAGAGAAGUCUACAAUUUAAGUGACAACCGUUGAAGUGGCUAAAGACAUAAGCACUAUGCGUGUUAAUGAGUCGAUAAGAACAUUAUAGACUUUUGAAAUGAAUCUGGAAGAAUGUUGAAAAGCCAGAGUCAAGCAAAUAAGAGCAUAGCUUUUAAUAUGAAAGUUUGAGUUUGGUACAUCUAUUGGUACAAUUGUCUUUAUUGAAGAGUAGUGAGAAUAGUUGGGUAAAAAGACCUCUUUAGUCCUUCUCAAUAUGGAUAUUGAGCAAUUUAAUAUUUUUCAGUUUCAAGAGUGAGCACCUAAUGACAAUUAAUUACAACAUUAAUGAUUUUCGUCAAUUUUACAUGAUUUAAUUGGUAAAGUAAUAAAAUUUGCUCAUUUUAAAAUGUAACAAAGAGACCAAAUGUUAUUUUCUUUUGUGCCACCAUCACCAAUAACAGAUGGAAAAUCAUAUGGAUCAAAUUAAAAGCUAUGAUAGGGAUUGGAUUGUUGAUGAAGAUGACAUUAAAACAUUCAUUACAAAACAUUUCUAGAACCUUUUUCUAAUAAAAAAACACGAUUGAGAAUAUGAUUAAGGAUUGUGUUGGUUCUGUUAUUACUACAGAGAUGAAUGAAAAACUAAAUCAAGGAUCAUAAAUGAAGAAACCAAGGUAGUCGUGUUUAACCUUGCCAUAAUGAAGGCUCUUAGGUUGGACAGUUUUUUAGGCUUAUUCUACCAUAUGUUCUUUGAGGAAAUUAAAGGCGAUGAUAUUUGUAUGGUAAAGGACGUCUUCCACAUUGGAAAGCUUCUAAAAAGGAUUAGUGCAUGAUUGAAUAUUGCAUUUUUUGCAAACAAAAUGGAUACCAUUCUGCAAGCUCAAGCAGGUUUCAUCCCAAAUUGUCAAAUUUAAGACAAUUUGAUUAUUGAUCAUGAGCUUGUUUGGUAUUAUUAGUAAAAGAAAACAAAGAAGAAACAUAUGAUAAUUGUUAAACUUGAUCCCAAAAAGCCUUAUGGUAAAGUGAAUUGGGGGAUUUUUAAACUUGGUUUUCUUAUAAAUGAGAUUUAAUGAUGAAUGAGUUGAUAAGAUCAUGGAAUUCAUUACCACGAUGAAAUUUGCAAUUUUUUUUAAAUGAAGACAUAAGAGAAACUUUCAUACCAUCAAAAGGAAUAAGAAAAGGUAAUCCGUUCUCCCCCUUUCUUUUCGUGAUUGUUGUCAAUUCCUUCUCAUUAACUAUUGAAAAGGUUGAAAAGGAAGGAUCCUUGUGCUAUUUCUAAAUUAAUUGACAUUUUCAUAAAGUUCCUCACCUAGUUUUUUGCUAAUAACUAUCAAAUUUUUUCAAAAGCUAUGCAAUUAUGAUCAAAUUUUAAAAACACUCUUAAUGUUCCAAAGAGCAACAUAAAAUUCAACUAAAUUUUCUAAAUAAACAAAAAUGUUCUUGCCAAAUAUCAAUAAAAGAUACAAAAAAAAUCUUCAAAUAAAAAAUCGUUAUAUCUAUUGACAUCAUUGAAACCUGUUAUUUAGGCCUUCCCACCAUUUAGGGUAGGUUUAAAAAUGGCUAUCCAUUUUAUUGCGAAAAAGUAAGAUUUAAAAUCUAAAGAUACAAGGGCAAAUUAUUAUCCAUGAUGGGACAAAAAAUGCUAAUUAAAGUAGUGGAUAAUGUUAUAUUAAUGUAUGCCAUGAACUAUUUUUAAAUCAUUGUUUCUUUUGGAAAAUAAACUUAAUUCUCUUAUUAGUUGGUUUUGGUGGGGAAAUGAGGGAGCAAUAAUAAGAAGACUUAUUAGAUUGCAUGGUAAAAUUUAACCAAACUUAGGGAAAAAAAGAGGCAUGGAAUUUAAGGAUUUCAAUAAAUUCAAUAUAAUUUUGCUUGUGAAACAUGCAAGACAUUAUCUAGGUAGUCCAACAUCUCUAUGUGCUUGAAUUCUUAAGGAAAAAAACUUCCAUAUAGGUUUCAUCAUUAAUUCUUCGACGCCAAAAGUUGCUUCUUGAGAUUGGAAGAGUUAAUGGGAACGUAUUUAAUGCCUUAAAAAAGGAAUAUGAUGGAAUUUCCGUAAUGGACGAUACAUCUAUUUUAGCGAUGAUAAAUGGGUUCCAAAGGUUGAAAAUUUUCAAGUAUCAUAAGAUGCCAAGGAAUUCCUAGAGACCUUUAUGCUUCAUGAACAAUGACCUUCUCGAUAUAACGUUCCACCCUUAUAAUGUAUAAUCACUUUACAUAAUUUCCAUUGGACCUGAAAGCACUGAUGAUUGCUUAGUGCUUCACUAGAUAUGUAAUGUAUACGAAUAAGUCGAGAUAUGCCUUACUUACCUAGGAUGAUAAGCAUUCAACAAGCUUCUAUCCUUUAAGAAAAUUUCAAGAUAAUCAAGUAGUUUGCAAGAAUAUCUAAAAGCUCAAAUGUCUACCAAAAUUACAAAUGUUCAUUUGGAGAUGUUGUCGAAAUUUCAUUGCCUCAAAAGAGAAUCUCCUAAAAAGACAUAAAGAUAGGAUGGACAAAUGCUAUAGAUGCAAGAAUAUGAUGGAUUAAUUGAACACUUGUUUUUCCUUUAUCCUUUCGCUAAGCUUGAUUAAGGUUGUUCCAAGUUUAGACAUAACCCUUUUCCUAUAGGAAUUUGAUUGUGUCAUAAUCGGUGGAUCUGUAUUUUGUUAAAAUGUUAAACGACCACAACCAAAAUGAUGAUAUUAGCCUUAUGGCUUUCAUAUGUCGAGAAAUUCAAAAAAGAGAAAAAGAAGAAGUUUUUUAAGGCAAUAAAAUGGAUCCAUUUUAGGUUUAGCUUAAAGUAAAUGAAAAUUUUACAUAUUCUCUACUCCCCUAAAUCACUUUUAAACUUCAAGGAUACCUACCCUUCAAUGGAACCUUCCCUCUCUAAAAGUGCUCAAGUUAAACUGUGAUGUAACUUUCAAUAAUCACAAUAAGGAAAUUGGUUUAGCAGUUGUAGGCUUAGAUAAAGAGGGUUUGAUGAUGGAUGGUAUAAGAAGAGAAUUCUAACUACUAGCUCUUUAAUCAUGUAAGACCAAACGAUUUGUAUGGAAAGAGAUCUUAUCCCGAAGAAUGAAUGGAAACUGUGAUUGGUGAAUCUAAUUACCUAAAACUAAUCACAAUUUUGAAGAGAGCAAUUGCAAUUCCAUGGGAGGUUGAAGCGAUCAUCCACUCUAUUUGGUAAGGCCUCUCCUUUUGUAUGUAUGUGUCUUUUACGCGGUUUUGUUGUAAUUGUAAUGUUAUGGCUGAUUUGGUGACAAAAGCCACUUUAGGAGUUAAAUACUCUUCUAAUUUGUUAGGAGAUCCACCCUAAGGCCUUGCUUGCCUGUUGUAAUUUAUUAAUUGUCAUGGAAUGAAAUGUUGUUUAUUUAGCCAAAUAGAUAGAUAAAAAUGAUAUUAUCAAUUGACAUGAUAGAGAUAUAUGUUAGAUCGAUUUAAAACUUUAUAUGCAUGACAAGUAUAAUUAUUUUUAUAAAUGCAAUAGUUAAGUUAUAAAAAUAUUAAUCAUUCAAAUAGUUAUAAAAGUGUAUCUAAUUUUUUUGGAUAUUUUUUUUUAUAUUUGCAUUGCCACAUGAUUGAAUUUGAAGUAGACAUGUGCAUAUGUCACAAGGCUAGAACUUUAGUCUGACUAACUGCGCGUUUUAAGCGAUUUCUUGGCUUCAAAUCCACCUAAUUCAGCCUAACUCUUGAACAGUGAAAAUUCACAAGGGAAAUUCUCUAAGGCACCAAAGUAAAGCAGAAGCAAAUUACAAAUGAAAAGGUAAAAAGUGAACAAAAAAGCCAUAAAAAACUAAGCACAUUAAGUGCUUGAGUAAAUGCUCUCAAUAGUAUUCAAUUACUAUGAAUGGGAUUAUUACAAAUGAGGGGAGAGGCCGCUAUUUAUAGUUGAACUUCUCUAGAUCCAAUGUUAUAGUUUUAAUUACAUCAAUGGCCAAGAUUAAAACCUAUUGCAGGACGAGAGUCCUAAGGGAUUUAAACUUUAUUCGAUCUUAUCCCUUAAGAUUUACAACAUUGACCAUGGUAACUCUAGUUUUACUGGAAUAUUCCAUUAGCCAUCUAGUUUUCCAUAUGUUCCACGAAUCAUGCUAGCUCAAGUGGGUCAAAUGAGCCCUAUGGGUCAAAUGAGCCCUAUUUAAUCGGUUGACCUCCAUGGGACGUACUGUGUGCAAUCGUCACAAGCUUCGAUCUACAGUCUGAUUUGUCGUAAUUCAUUAUAGCAUAUUAAACCUCUUUUUAUACUUAAUGAGCUUGUUAGAGAGAAAUUUAGUUAUGUUUUUACUUAGUUUUUAUCUUUAGUACUAAGGGAAUGAAAUGAGUAAUUUUGGUGUUUUAUAUGGCCUAUUGGGCCAAAUUAGGCCUAAAGGUAGACUGACAUGUUAGGUGAGUGUGCAGGACAUCAAUUUAGGGCAAAAGACAGUGGAUUGCUCCCGAUGUUGCUACAAGGAGCUUGGAUGUCGCAACAUAGUAGCCAGAAUACACGAAGAAGUAAACUGCCAAGGAUGUCACGACAUAGAUUAAGGGUGUUGCAACACUGGCUUGACAUGGCCACUUAAAAGAGCAAAGGUGUUUUUGUUCGUACAACACAAUUUAAUGAAGUUUAGUCAGUCGUUUUAGGUGACUUUUUACCUCCCUUUUAUUUUCACUUUCCUUCUUAGUUUUUAGGUUUUUACUUUUAAUUUGUUUUAUUCUCGGUAGUGUUUUGUUCUUUGGGAGAUUCAAAUUGUGAAUUAAUUAGACUUUGCCAAUGAUUACGCUUCAAGUUUCAAUACAAUAUUCAGGAUCUUUCUGCCAAUGAUUACGCUUCAAGUUUCAAUACAAUAUUCAGGAUCUUUCUAUCCUCUUUAUUUGAUUUUGCAAUAUGUUCAUGUUUCAAUUUAAAUCUAUGAUGUUUGUUAAAUCCAUGAGAAACUAAACCCUUAGAAAGAUAAACAAGUGGAUGUGAGAUUAGUUGAAGACUAUGUAGGGUUCUUAGUGGAUCAGUUGGUUGGGAAAGGAAGAACUUAAAGUCUAGCCUUGACAACCUUGAGAAUUCAUGUAGGUAGAUAUGAACCUGAAAUCGGUAUAAUUUAUAGUGAAAACCUUACCCUGACUCAGUUUGACCUGUGACAUUGAGAGAUAAAUAGUGCUUGCCAACUAAUUAGGUUAGUGGAAGGUUGAGAGGCCCUAUUAGGUUAAUGACUAGCUGAUUGGAUAAAACCUGAAAUAAGAGUUAACUAUGAACACUGAAGUGAGUUAGGCAUCUUCCAUUAGAUAUGAUAAUAUUCACAAGUUAUUUCUAUCGGUAGUUUAUAUUCUUUAUUUAGAAUUCUUUUUUAUCACCACUUUACGAAUCAUCGUAAUAUAAUUUGGUUAGAGUACUAGUUAAACUUAUUAGCAUAGAAAUUAGUAUUAAUCUUGUCAAGCCUGCUUUGGGCAUGAUCCUCGGAGUACUUCCUGUACUUCAUUGUACAAAACUAUAUUCCAACCUGACUCAUAUACUUAAGGACACAACUUAAAUUCAUAUCUCUAGUUACAAUAUUCUCACUCCCGAAGAUAGUACUCCGGGAGGCGGUCAAGUUUUUGGUGUCGUUGCUGGGGAAGCUUCGCCAUUAGAUUAUUCUAAUUUUUGUGCUUAAUAGGAUAAUUAGAAAAUUUCUCAAAUUAUAGAUAUGAUUUUUAAUUUUUAUUAAUUUAUUUAACUUUCUAACUUAUUUCUCUUUCUUCGUGGAUCUUAGUAUGUGACUCGGAGUAGGGGCACACCUGUAGAGCCAGCCACUAAUCUAAAAAGAAUCAUACACAGUAGUCGUCAAUAGCAGCAAUAAUAGCAGAUGCAAAAUAACCUGCCUGUUGCGGUUGAUCUACCAUGUGAUAAUCCGUUUUUUAAUGAUCCACCCAUACAAGACCUGCCACCAUCACAACACCUGUUACCAAUAGAGCCACCCAUGGCUUGUGAAAAAAGGAUGCUCAGACACUACGCACUACCAACUUUGAAUGCAAUACAAGGCAACAUCACAAGACCAACAAUAACUGCGAACAAUUUUGAAAUAAAGUCGACAAUAAUCCAAAUGGUUCAGAAUAAUCUUCAAUUCAGAGGGGCGAUAACAGAUAACCUGAAUCAAAAUUUAAAACAGUUUAUCCAACUUUGUGACACUUUUAAAUUUAACGGGAUCAUUGAUGACGCUAUUCGUAUUCGGUUACUCCCUUUCUCCUUAAACGAUAAUGCCUUUUCUUGUUUAGAUUCGCAGGCACUCGGAUCAAUUACUACAUGGAACGAACUUGUGGAAAAAUUUUUGGGCAAUUUCUUCCCUAUCAGCAAAAUUGUCCAACUGAGAAGAGACAUUAUCGACUUCAAACAGAUGGAAGGAGAAAAAUUUUAUGAAGCUUGGGAGCAUUUUAAGUUGCUUGUAUAGAGAUGCCCUCAUCAUGGUCUGCUUGAAUGAUUAAGGUUGCAUAUGUUCUACAAUAGGUUAGAUGGGAACUCAAUGUCAGGACUAGAUAGAGCUGCAGGAGGGGCCUUAAUGAACUGAACGUAUAAGGGUGUCUGUCAGCUGAUAGAGAACAUGGCCAUGAAGUCUUGCCAAUGGCCGGACGAAAUAUUUAGUUAUGGUCCGAGAACACCUAUGGCCAAAGCUAUCCAUGAGGAAGACAAGUACCAACAAAUAUUGGAUAAACUUAACCGGUUAGAGUCAACAUCUACUAGACUUAUGAUGAAUGAAGUAGUCAGGACGAUCGGUUAAUACAGUGAACUACAUAGGAAUAGGGAUGGAAACCCAUAUUCAAACACUUAUAAUCCCAGAUGACAAGAUCACCCAAACUUGAGAUGGGGUGGAAACCAAGGAGGUAAUGCUACUUAGAAUUGGCAAAAUCAUACUUACAAACCUCCUUAUUUGCAGAAAGCUCAGGAGAGGACCAAUGUGAAUGACCAUACUAUAUGUGGUCAAAGGUUGGAUCGCAUAGAGGGGGAAAUGCAAUCAAUGAGGAUAGAAGUGAGAUAAGUGCAAUUUGAGUGCAUUCAAAUUAGGACUACGUUGACUAAGUUGGAAGAUCAAAUGAGCCAAUUGAUGAGCAUGAUAGUAAGCUAUACAUCCACGGAGCAUUUGCAACGAGAAUCAAAUGAAACAAGAAGCAACUGUUGUAACAAGGUUAAGGGUUCUUUCUUCACUACUGUUACAUUGGUUAUUUCAAAAUACAUUGCUAUAUUAUUGUAGUUUGUUUAGUAAAACAAUAGCAUCACACCACCAAGGAAAUUUAGACAAACUAUUGAGGAAGAGGCACCGACGAAUGUCAACCCCUCUAAUUUUUCAAACCUAAAUGUGGAAAUAUUUUUUUCUAGAAUUAUAAGGAAAAACGGUCUGUAACACCCUAUUCUUGACCCAAUCAUUGGGUCAAAGCUACAGUGUGUCACAUUCAUUACUGGAGCAACUAUGAUAAAUUCAUAAGAUAAAGUUAAACAAUAUACAUUCCUCAAACAUGCCAAAGUAAAAUCUAACUUUCAUUUAUAUAUAUUUAAUAACCUACAACAUUAAUACAACAAAACUUAACCUAUUAGGUACAUGCCAAAUGUAAAUAAAGUCCGAAACAAAUGAACACUCUGAGGCCUGGAUUGUGGAUUGGAUGUUGAGGUCGAUACUCAAAAAUCUUGAAUUAAUCCAACUUACACACCGAGAGAAAAACCUGUACGCUGAGUAAAAUACUCAGUGGUAUUUGUAUAAUUUAAGUAAUAUUAGCAUUAACAAUUCUACAUAUAGAAAACAUGUAUGUCUAAAUAAGCAUAACUAUCAUAUACUUAUAACUUGGAGUUACUAAGCUUUACAUUUUCAAUAUAAACAUAUUAUGUGUGGAAAACUAACAACAAUUCUUUCCAUAUCAAUACGUCUUGUAUAGACAUUUCAUAUACUUAUAACUUGGAGCAUUCUUGGCUUAGUCCCUCCUUACACAACAGUUCAAUUUCAAGAACCUGCAUUAAAGAUAAACGCCUGUAAGUUCAACAGAAUUUAGUGAGUCUCAACCAAUAUUACCUUUAACAUUGUUGUUGGAUUCCUCUACUUGAAGAUUCUGGACUUCCUUUCAGACUUUGAUUGACACCUUUCUAAUUCUUGGCGGAUAACUAUACGCCAAUCUCUACACUUAACCACCUUAUACACAUUCCGUCGGAUGAGCGGAUCACAAACUUCACACCAUAUUGCGGAUCCUAUCUCAUAAUCCCUUUUGAAGAUAGAAAUUGGAUACAUUUUCUCAAAGUGAUACACAUGUGGAUACUAUUCUUGGCAUAUUCUUAUACUAGUUCUGGUGGUUGAUAGAAUUCCAGUCACACCGUAUUUUUAAGUCGAUCUAAACCUCAAACCUUUUUCGAUGAAUACAAUAUUUUAGAUCAUUCAAUAGAAUCUUAGAUGACUUCGACAUAUAAUGUGAGAAUUCCCAAGUUUGGUAGACACUUACACUACCUAUAGUUACAAAUAUGUCAAAUUCUCUAUUCUAGCGGGUUACUAUGGUGGAUUCAUCAGUCGAGUAUACUACCGAGAACUCUUUCAAAAAAUGCCUCAAAGGCAUAACCAGAUAUCGCCACAAUGGCAACUUAACAACUCGCCACUUAGGCAUUACAAAAUUUAGUAUAUAGGCUUUCCAGAGGACUCGCCAUAAAAGCUUUCCAAAUAAUACACCACAUAUGCUUUUUGAGAUAACUAGCCACAAAUGCUUCCCAAAUAAUACGCUAUAGGCUUUCCAAAUAAUACGCCACAUAGCCUUUUCAGAUAACAAGCCACAAAGGCUUCCCAAAUAAUACAUCACAUAGGCUUCCUAAAUAAUACAUCACAUAGGCUUUUCGAGAUAACUAGCCACAAAUGCUUCUCGAAUAAUAUACAAUAGGCUUUUUAGAUCACUAGACACAAAGGCUUGUUUGGUUUGCCACAAAGGCACUACAUAAACGGUCGUAUUUAGUGAUAUGGAUUUGUCUAAAGUUAGCAUUGCCUGACGUUUGCCCAUCAUCGCCUUGGGUCACGUAGAAUUAAAAUGUGCCAUGGCUAUGGUCUUUCCAUAUUUCUUACCACACUAGCCCUUUCAAGUGUUUACUAUUCCGACAAACAUCAUCAAAGCACCACAGUGGGGUCCAUUGUUAUAUUAAAUACUUUCUCGACAAUCUACCCAAACCCUCUUCUCUCCAACCAUACUUUUUCAUGCAUCAUUCAUUUAACGUCGUGGACACAUUUAUAUAGAUUUGACUCACACCCAUAACAGAAUCAUACUUUCCAAAAUGUAAUAUCCCAUACAUGCUUACCACACAUCAUCAUAUUCAUGCAGCACAUUGUAACUUUCAUUUAUAUAUAUACAAAUGCUUCACUGAAAACACAUACACACAUACAUACAACAACUCCUCAAGAAGACAUGCACAACUACAGAGACAUCAACCGUACAAAGAAUCAUCAUAAAAUUAGAUUCAGAAGUUGGGUAUAGAGACUUACCAGGGACCUACCUAUACCUCGAUCUGGAUCUUCUGUUUUAAUUGUUCUUCCUAAACUAACAACAACAAAUGCUUACAAGAACAAGAAAUUUCCAUUAAAAUCCUCAUUAUAGAUAAUUUACUAAUGUUUCAACUAUAUGUGACCCCCAUUUAGGGCCUUCCUCUCACACCCUAUUGGUCUUACAUAUUUUAACAUUUUACUCUUCAACAAUCGUAACAUACAAAGCUACAAGACUUACUAGAAGGUGGAAUCAUCCAUUGAUUAAAAGAAAUCUUAGCUCUAGUUUAAUGAAGAUGAAGAGAAAAUUUAGGUUGGAAAGAAGAACGAUAACAUCGAGCAAAAAGAAAAACCAUCUCCAAAUUCCCUUCCCCUUUCACCUUAUAUAUACUCCUAGUCCCCCUGAUGUCCUUACCAAAUCUGAGGGUAGGUAAAAAAAAAUUCGGUAAAGAUUCAAGUUACUAUUUUCUCAAUCAUGGGGAAGGUCAAUCAAUUCAAUUGACUCUCAACUAAUCUUGUUACAAGAACCAAUUUAAACAGUGCUCAUGCAAACCAAGCGUACUAUACCUUGGCGGUGA
rnacentral:lncRNA from 1 species